rnacentral:ncRNA from 1 species
AAAGCUUCGCAGGGGAACUAAGGAACUAAGAAGUUCUGGAGUUGAGAAGGUGAAACCUGACCCUUAUAACCUGUCAGUUAAAACUGUCGUAGGGAGCGUAAAAUAAGAUUUU